CCUACGGGUGGCAGCAGUGAGGAAUAUUGGUCAAUGGACGAGAGUCUGAACCAGCCAAGUAGCGUGAAGGAUGACUGCCCUAUGGGUUGUAAACUUCUUUUAUAUGGGAAUAAAAUGUUCCACGUGUGGGAUUUUGUAUGUACCAUAUGAAUAAGGAUCGGCUAACUCCGUCCCAGCAGCCGCGGUAAUACGGAGGAUCCGAGCGUUAUCCGGAUUUAUUGGGUUUAAAGGGAGCGUAGGUGGAUUGUUAAGUCAGUUGUGAAAGUUUGCGGCUCAACCGUAAAAUUGCAGUUGAAACUGGCAGUCUUGAGUACAGUAGAGGUGGGCGGAAUGCGUGGUGUAGCGGUGAAAUGCUUAGAUAUCACGAAGAACUCCGAUUGCGAAGGCAGUUCACUGGACUGCAACUGACACUGAGGCUCGAAAGUGUGGGUAUCAAACAGGAUUAGAUACCCCAGUAGUC
rnacentral:rRNA from 1 species